GGGGAUGUGGUCCAAUGGUACGAUCCGUCUGGUUUGACCAAUCGGGAUGCCGGUUCGAGUCCGGCCUUCUCCA